AUGGGUGCCGUCGCGCCAUCGAAGGCCUCCACGGCGCCCUCUAUCAGGUCACCUCUCUCUCCACGAACUCCUUUUUACCCACGUUUUUACCACUCUCCAAGCUCGCACUAUUGCUCUGGAAAAUUCCCUUUGGAAUUGGGGAUGAAGCAAUCGAUUUCGAUUGAUUGGCGCCGUGCAGACGACGGGCGUGGGACGCCGCGGGAGGCGUGCCGCGUUCGAGAGCCACUGUGGAUUAUCUUCGAGGUGUCAGGCGACAUUCGCCUCGAGACCUACCUCCGGGUCUCUUCCCAUAUGCAUUGA
rnacentral:rRNA from 1 species